rnacentral:rRNA from 1 species
UACAGAGGGGGGCGAGCGUUUGUUCGGAAUUACUGGGCGUAAAGGGCGCGUAGGCGGCCUUCUAAGUCGAACGUGAAAUCCCCGGGCUCAACCCGGGAACUGCGUCCGAUACUGGGAGGCUUGAAUCCGGGAGAGGGAUGUGGAAUUCCAGGUGUAGCGGUGAAAUGCGUAGAUAUCUGGAGGAACACCGGUGGCGAAGGCGGCAUCCUGGACCGGUAUUGACGCUGAGGCGCGAAAGCCAGGGGAGCAAACGGG